AAAAAUGAUGAUUAAGUUAUCGCCCCAGUCUGAAUUAAAAAAACUGUUGAUUGAUAGUAUUCUGAUUU